UUGUAGCGGGUAUAGUUUAG
rnacentral:tRNA from 1 species